GACGAACCGUCCAAACGUUAUUCGGAAUCACUGGCUUACAGAGUUCGUAGGCGGUCUGGAAAGUUGGGUGUGAAAUCCCUCGGCUUAACCGGGGAACUGCGUCUGAUACUGGAUGGCUUGAGGUUGGGAGAGGGAUGCGGAAUUCCAGGUGUAGCGGUGAAAUGCGUAGAUAUCUGGAGGAACACCGGUGGCGAAGGCGGCAUCCUGGACCAAUUCUGACACUGAGGAGCGAAAGCCAGGGGAGCAAACGGG
rnacentral:rRNA from 1 species